GAGGGUUUCGUUUCUGCUCAGACAAAAGCACUGAGCUAAAUACCAACCAACAGAAUGAUAAUCUAUUAAAAGGAAAACACACCCUGUAGUUUGCAAGCGCGCGCACACACACACACACACACACACACACACACACACACCUCAUUAGACAUUGGACAGAUCCUCCCCUUCGGCCAAGGCCAGGUGCACAACGUACAUGACACAAAGCCCAUUCAUAAAACAUUUACUAAAGCCACCACCACGGUGUCGUAAAACAGAACCUUACAGUCCACAACUGUGUGUGCAAGUGUGUGGGUGUGUGUGUGUGUUGUGGUUAUCUGCGUUGGGAAACACCAGAGCAAGGACAGUGUGCAGCAGGGGCUUUGACGCAAGCAAUCUGAGGGGAACAUGACAUGUAUUGAUUACAACAAGUGUGUGUGGGAAAUCACAACAAACGGACAGCCAGUCGAGGAUGGGAAUGUGUGUGUGUGGUGUGUGUGACAGCACAAUAGAUAUUACUGAUGGGAAAAUAAUAUAAUUGAAUAUUUCUUUUGGACUUUUUAUGCAUACCUUAUGCAAAUAAAUGUUUUACCACAGAAACGAUGAUGAUAAACUAAACGAGAAAACAGUGUGUCAGAGGCAGAAACGUGAGUAAUAAAAAUCGCCCGGACAAGAGGCUGUAAUAAUAAAACUAAUCUUUUUAUUACUAAAUAAAGUCUAUGAGUGACUGCGCUGCUCCCCGUCUGGCCUAUCUCUGCCAUGUUUACAUGUCAGCCUAUCUCUGAUCUCAUCACAUGCAUUCCUUCCACAGCUGCUCUGUUGAAACUCUGUCACAAUAAAACAGUCCACAUGCAGGAAUACACACAUACACAACGGAAACUGCGGCUCUGUGUUUGACUUAGAGGAAAAUAAAACAUGAUAUAUGUGAGCUUAAGGAGGGCUGUUUUGUGACUGGAAAGGUUAACUAUUUAGAAACAUUUACUGCUAUAAAACUGUUCCAGACAGCUGGACAGCGUCAGGACUUCAGACAGACACAGGAGGCAGAGAGUAAUGAGAGUGAGUACUAGACACCUGUGACCUGAGCCUUCAAUCACAUCAACAGAUUAACCUCGACAUAACCUCUGCCACUGCAGGGUAAAUGGCCGCUGAUGGAAACAUGCGAACACGGCCUGCAUUUCUCCACAUUUGCAACGUCAAAGCUACAUUUUAUGCAACAAGAACAUUUCCUCCUGCUCAUUUUGAAAUGACUCGGUAGUAAUCGAACCAGAAUCAGUCCUUGUGAGCCGUGCAGACACAGACUGAUGGGGCUUGUUUUAACAAAUCCCUUUUGUGAAGAAGCCCAAGAUCACAUUCGUUAGAUUUUCUAUGGUGGGCAGCAAAAUUUCUGGAUACACUCUUUUCUUUUCAUCUCCCACAAUCUGCCCUAGCCAUCAGUGGUUCAUUUCAGUCUGGUUAAGUGGAUGACUACCAUGUGCCUUCUCAGAUUUUUGGUUCUUGGUAGUAAUUAGUUCACCAUAAUCUCCAAGUCAUUCCCUCAUGUAUCGUCCUUUCCAGGUUUACAGCAGGGCCAUCAACAAUGAAGUUUCCAACAUGUUUACAUGCGAUUUAUAAAAGAUGCUGGGCAUAAAAAAAACAAACACCUGUGAUCUUUAAACUCUCAAAUCAACUUAAAUUGACGGCAGUUGCCCUGAGAUUUGCCGUCACAUAAUGGCAUCACAAACACGGGUUUAGUCAGCAAUAGAGGUGGACCAGAGGAGAAAAUCAAACUGCUUUACUGACAAGAUCACUGCGAUGGAAGAUGAGAAUGAAGCCAAUCAAAACAUAUUAAUCCAUAGAGUAAAUAGUGGGUUGAUAAACGAAAGUCAAACAUGCAGUUUAGGAAUGUGUCUACACUGCACAUUGUUCAUAAAGCUUCCCGAAGUCUUCCCCACUCAGGAAAUUGACUCAUCCAAGGAGAAUGUGAAUGCACCAAUGAUCCUGAAGAGCAAUAGCUCCGCAUAAUCAACAAAAAAAAAAUCAACAACAAGUCUAGACAAUGAUUAGAGAUAAGAUCACUUCCAAGUUGAGGUAAGUUUUUCUGCAGAAAAAUAUCAGAUGAUGAACCUCCUUAAUCUUUAACCACAUCAAAGACAUCAAGCGCUCCACCCAAUCUGAACAGUGCAACUGUGGCCUUGGCAGAGCUGCUAUGAGGGAUAACUGUCAAGCUGUUGUCUGUAAGACAGUAUGAGGACGCUCUGAACAGGAGGCAAAACACACAUACGUACAUACUGUGAAUGUGUUCAUCUUAGUUUAUCCAUCAGUUGUUCAAGUAAUCGAUUUUCACUGACUGAGUCAACAAAAUCACUAAAUUUCCAUGACUGAAUAAACUCAAUAAACUGACAAAAGGACAACAGAAAGCACAACACAAUUUGUGUGUUUUAUUAUCACCACAUUUGAAGUUUGAAUUGAGUUUGAAUUUCUAAACUGUCCUUUUUGGGGGGUUGUGUGCAAACAUCAAUCAACAUCAAAUAGAGUCAGAUCACAUGUGACAUUAUAAACGUUCCGUGUUUAUGGAAAACUGCCAAAGAUUGUCGUCUCCUGCCUGUUGGACCAACACACUGUAGUUACUGUAAAUAGUCAAAGAUCUGUUUUAAGAAACCAUCAACACUGUAGUCUAAAAAUAAUCUCCUGAAAAAACAGUUUUGUGAUCAAAACACCAACCCAUUAGACCACAACAACCACAGGGUCUUUUGAUUUUUAAAUUAUUCGCUUCAUUUGUCCUCAUCUGACGGAGGCCUCAUGACAGAUGAAAGUCCAUGGGGGGGAAUCGACGGGAGAGGAAGGUGACACCCACACCUCCAGCCGCUCUUCUUUCACUUCGCUUAUCCAACAUGCCAUCGGGCUCUCUCACUAAUUGCUUCAAGCUGACAGCCUAAUGUGUUUCCUCUGUGGGGUCAAGUAUAUCAGACUAAAAUUACCAGUCGCAGCCAGAGCGAACGCUGCUAAUGUUCUGCUGGAGAAUGGAGGCGUAUAAGCGGAGAGUCACGACAACUUCUACAUAAAAAAAAGGCCGGACAGUUGUUUGAUUUCAAACUGAGCAAACUGUUGGUGUGCUGCUGUCUCAUCCUCUCGCUUCAGCCCACACAGGCGAGCUUUUUAAACACAGAGGUCAGCUCUCGCAGUCCAACACUCAGCAUCUCCGCGCUUUCUUUUAUAUAACUCCCGAAUAUAUAACAGAGAUCAUGUUGUCUUUCUUUGUUUGCUAUGCUUCCUCUACACUCCGCAGAGCUCUGACGCUCAUGAGUGAGCAGUCAACUUUUCAUUUUUUGGGGGGUAUUUUUAUUUCCCCCCUACAUUAAAUCAAUGGGAGGUCUUGUCUCCAAACACUUAUCCUCGAUCAAAUGCCAUUUUGUCCUCUCAGAAUUUCCUUGACUCCCAUGUUCUCAGACUUGUUGCCCUUCUUUCUAAGAUUUUGGGGUUGGAAUGCUGGGAAUGUUUCUGGUGCUUGUUACCUCUGGCGGGGUCUCUCUGUGGUUCACAGGACAACGACAACAGCCAUUCCAGAAGAACUCACCCUGACCACAACGUUGUGUCUUUACAGGCUUUCUCUUCGACCCUUCCACCAUACAUAACCCUAUUUAUUACACAUAUGAUCAAGGCAGGCUGUAAGACUGUUGAACUCUUGAACCUUCGAGCCUGAGAUCAUUAGCCCUUCUCCAAACACAUGUCCUGGCUUGGUCUGACUUGACCUGUCAGGGAUUUUCAUUUAAUUACAACAGGGUUUGUAGGUGUGCUCAACUGAUGACGUACCUCUUUACUAUUGUUUACAAGUGCACUUUCUCAGUUGUUGAUGGCCAGCUAUCUUAUCAUCAGUGAUUUAAUGGCUGGUUUCACAAUUUUGCUUAGCUCCUACAGCUUCGUACUGGGAUGGGUUGAUGAAGCAGAUCUCAAAGAGGAAAAGGAAGCGACUGCUCGUCCAUGAACACUGAUGACGGCCAUCUGAUGUCACCGAAACCUGCUUGAAGGUGGUCAGGCAUGCUUUCAGAAGAAUCAAGAGAUGGUCCAUUUAGCGCCACUCAGCAUGUUUUAACUGACAAAUGGAAUCACAAAUCAACUCUGCAGAGCCAAGAUUACAGAUAGAAAACACAACACAUUACUUGCACCUUAUUAAUACAGAUGUCACUGUAUUAUAUUUUCGUAUACAUCAUUUUCGAUUUGUGUACUUGCUUUCUUACUUUCUUUGUAAAACGUAUUCAACAUUGUUGGAGUUAGCCCGAGAAUUAAGAGAUGCAUUGCCAAAGACCACUUCACUGCAACUGUUUUGCAUCUGACAAUAAAG